rnacentral:misc_RNA from 1 species
CACGUAUUUCAUUAUUUAAAAAAAAAAACAUUUACAAAAACAUUAAAACAAAAUAUUUUUCUUCUCCUUCUUCAUUUUUCUCUCACAGGUCACUCCUUCACUCUUUGCACACAUACAACACACGUGCGCUUCUCAAAGCUCUAGCACCCUUCCUUUUUAUUGGCAAAGGAAUGUCUUUUACAAGUUAAUAAACACACACCUAACACUUGGACAAACUUCCUAUAAUUCUUCCUACAAACAUGGAGAGUCAUUCUUUUUGAACUUACACGAUACAUAAAAAAUUUCCAACAGCAAAAUAUCUCACUUUCCAAUGGUUGUGUAUUGAACAACACUAGUACAAGCUUUUAUAGUACAAAAUUAUAGCUGAUGGAAACAACAGAUGACUAUAUGAAACUAUGUGAUCAAACACAACAAAUAAUCUUUAUAACUGAAACAGGGAUAAGAAUCUAACACUCUUAUAAUAACUAUCAAUGUUGCUUUCUUCCUCGGGAUUGAGAAAAUACUUCAAAGGAAGGAAGAAUCUUCCAAACUGUUUCAAAAGCAUCUUGUAUUACUGUCCGAUAUAGAUGGAUUUGCAAUAUUGUGAACACCGAGACAGGAAAGAAAGCAGCAAUAGAAAUGAGACUUGUUGUCCAUUCUUUCUCAGAACGAAUGACUAGUAAUAUGGUGGCACCAAAUGCAAGCAUGGCACUAAUCACCGAGAGGAAGAGUAAAAUGAAGCCAAAUUUAAGUUUCCAAGGUAUAGAGCGACGAAAAUCAUCAAGUUCAAAUGGAGAAGUGAGGAUAGAGAGGAAAGCCACAACUGAAGUUAGGGAGAACGCUAAGGCAAUCACAUCCAUGACAGUGAAAAAUAUGAAAUAAGGAGCACGUAGGAAAACAGGAAAACCCCUUUCAUUAACACCUCCAGGUAUAGUGUAGGCAGCAGCAAAAACAACAGUGGCAACAAGGGCAGCAACAGUAGAGCAUGACUGAGAGGUUCCCUUAAUCCAGGUCUGUGCUUCUUGAAGUUGUGUUUUGUGCGUCAAUUCAAGGAGCAUUCUUGGAGUCAAAGGAUUUUUGAAUUCCUCUUUUGCAAUCACACGUGCAAAUUUUAGCCGAUUUUGGCUCUCUUUACUCAUUUUUGCUCGAAGCAGAGGAUAGUAAGAGGGAACAACCGACUUCACACGAUCAAACCACUGUAACUCUUCUUGUAGUUGGAGUGCAGGACCGGGCUUGGUGCCUCCAGUGUAACGCUCGGUGUCCGCAACAAGGUGCAGCAAGUUGUUGCCAUCAUCAUCAAUUUUCCGAGCCAUCUUAUCCCAUGACAUUCCCUUAUCUUUUAACAGGUUGAAAAUCUCCUCGCGUCUGUACAUCACAGCCCAGUGCAAUAUGUUCUGACCUUUAUUGUUACGAAGGUCCACAUAAUACUGAGGAAUCGCAUCAAUAAUUUCACUGACAAUCUCUACUAUUCCUGUCUUAAUUGCGAUAAACAAAGGGGAUGGCCUCCCUGAAGUUAAUAAGGGAAUUCUACUCCAGUUAAAUUGAUCUGAUUCAAAAUCUUCCACCCAAACAGUAUUCCUUAUUAGCUUCUGGGCAAGUUGUAAAGCAAAUUUGUGCUUUCUCUUCUCUUCCCAUAUUCUUCCCGCCAUUGGGUAUCCUUUGAUGAUUUUGCGAGUCAAUCGUCUGAUACAUUUUGAUCCUCUCAAACGAGCCACAAAGUUGUGGAAUAAACUGCGUUCUGGAUUGCAUGUUUUGCCACUCUCCAAAUCUUCCUGCAAUCUUGAAUCUGGCUCUUGAUUGUCAUUUUCUUCCACAUCUAUGACGGGAAUGCAAAAGUAAAUCAAGUAUUCAAAAAUGUUCCCCACGGUGUAUCCACUCCAGAAAGCAGAAGGCAUAUCAGCGAGAACAUGAAGAGCAGUUGUCAGAACAAUCGGGCGACUUUCACCCUUCUCAAACUCUGAAACCUUGGGAAUUUCUUCCUUUUUUCUUUUUAGUUGGAGCGGAGAAGUUGUCAGUGCAAACGGACGACUUUCACCCCCCUUCGACUCUGAAGUCGAGGGAAUUUCUUCCCCCAACGACUUUUUUUUCUCCUUGUUUAUCCUUUGCUGGAACUCAGAAGUUUUCUGUGCAAUCGUGCCUUCUUCAUCCUCCGACACUGAAGUGGUGUCAUUCCACACUGUAAGUGACGCAUCAAGAUUAACCAACCACAAAGCAGUCUCGAAGUGUUGUCCUUCCAUGGCAAUUUGAAGGAUAGAUUUCCCAUCAACAUAUCUUGUUCUGCUAUCCUCUGCUAUCUUAUUGAGAAUUGUUUGUCUUUUAUUUGUUAUUUCAAUCUGUCCUUCUUGACUCGCUAAGAACUUGACUAUUUUUGUCCUACCAAAAGCAGCAGCUGUAAACAGUGGGACCUCGCCGUCCACAUUUUUAAGCCCAAGUAGCUUCUUUACUAGUUCUUUGUAGGGGCCAUCGACCAGGAAGUUUAUGACCUCAAAGUUUCCAACGAUGGCAGCCUCGUGAAGAAUAUUGUUUUUCUCUUCGUUUUCCGUAAGGAUGAUAUCCCGAACGGUAUUUUCCGGAAAUGCCCUAGAAGUGACAAUUUCAAGAAGAUCUUCAAAUGGUUUCUUCUUUUUGCUGUUCAGUGCCAAGUGAAAUACCCUAUCACCAUUGAUAUUCACCGGAGACAGCAGGUGCUCAGGACAACGCUUAUAGUAAUUAAUCAACCCAUCCCAGUUUCUAUCCGCGAUUGCGCAAUAAACUUCUUUCAAUUCUUCAAGGUGCUCUCGCUGUGUAUUACUUUGUCUUUCAGUAGCCAUGCGUUGUUAUGCUGACGGAGGCCAGAAUUGGCCGGAAUGAAUGCUGAUGGUGUUACCUUUGUAGAUCCUACCCAUCGAAAUUUAUUGGGGUCUGUUCAUCCUGUAACGCGCGGUGGAUGCC